rnacentral:rRNA from 1 species
CAAAGAUUAAGCCAUGCAUGUCUCAGUGCAAGCCGAAUUAAGGUGAAACCGCGAAAGGCUCAUUAAAUCAGCUAUGGUUCCUUAGAUGGUACGUACAGUUACUUGGAUAACUGUGGCAAUUCUAGAGCUAAUACAUGCUAACCGAGUUCCGACCGCUUCGCAGGCGGAAGGAAUGCUUUUAUUAGAUCAAAACCAAUCGGGUUCCUUCGCGGACACCCGUCACGUCUUGGUGACUCUGAAUAACUUUGGGCUGAUCGCACGGUCCCGCACCGGCGACGCAUCUUUCAAAUGUCUGACUUAUCAACUUUCGAUGGUAGGCUCUGCGCCUACCAUGGUCGUAACGGGUAACGGGGAAUCAGGGUUCGAUUCCGGAGAGGGAGCCUGAGAAACGGCUACCACAUCCAAGGAAGGCAGCAGGCGCGCAAAUUACCCACUCCCGGCACGGGGAGGUAGUGACGAAAAAUAACGAUGCAGAACUCUUUCCGAGGCUCUGCAAUCGGAAUGAGCACACUCUAAAUCAUUUAACGAGUAUCCAUUGGAGGGCAAGUCUGG